AGAUUGAACGCUGGCGGCAUGCCUAACACAUGCAAGUCGAACGGGAGUAGCAAUACUCUAGUGGCGGACGGGUGAGGAAUACGUAGGAAUCUGCCCUUAAGUGGGGGAUAACCCGGGGGAAACCCGGAUUAAUACCGCAUGACCUCGAAAGAGCAAAGUGGGGGAUCGCAAGACCUCACGCUUUUGGAGAAGCCUACGUCGGAUUAGCUAGUUGGUGAGGUAAUGGCUCACCGAAGGCGACGAUCCGUAACUGGUCUGAGAGAUGAUCAGUCACACGGACUGAGACCACGGUCCGGACUCCGUACGGGAGCAGGCAGGUGGGGAAUAGUGGACUAAGU
rnacentral:rRNA from 1 species